CAACUUGAGAGUUUGAUCCUGGCUCAGAGCGAACGCUGGCGGCAGGCUUAACACAUGCAAGUCGAGCGGGCGUAGCAAUACGUCAGCGGCAGACGGGUGAGUAACGCGUGGGAACAUACCUUUUGGUUCGGAACAACACAGGGAAACUUGUGCUAAUACCGGAUAAGCCCUUACGGGGAAAGAUUUAUCGCCGAAAGAUUGGCCCGCGUCUGAUUAGCUAGUUGGUGAGGUAACGGCUCACCAAGGCGACGAUCAGUAGCUGGUCUGAGAGGAUGAUCAGCCACAUUGGGACUGAGACACGGCCCAAACUCCUACGGGAGGCAGCAGUGGGGAAUAUUGGACAAUGGGCGAAAGCCUGAUCCAGCCAUGCCGCGUGAGUGAUGAAGGCCCUAGGGUUGUAAAGCUCUUUCGCCAGGGACGAUAAUGACGGUACCUGGAUAAGAAGCCC
rnacentral:rRNA from 1 species